AUUGAACGCUGGCGGAAUGCUUUACACAUGCAAGUCGAACGGCAGCACGGACUUCGGUCUGGUGGCGAGUGGCGAACGGGUGGGUAAUGUAUCGGAACGUGCCCAGUCGUGGGGGAUAACGUAGUGAAAAUUACGCUAAUACCGCAUACGAUCUAUGGAUGAAAGCGGGGGAUCGCAAGACCUCGCGCGAUUGGAGCGGCCGAUAUCAGAUUAGGUAGUUGGUGGGGUAAAGGCCCACCAAGCCAACGAUCUGUAGCUGGUCUGAGAGGACGACCAGCCACACUGGAACUGAGACACGGUCCAGACUCCUACGGGAGGCAGCAGUGGGGAAUUUUGGACAAUGGGCGAAAGCCUGAUCCAGCCAUUCCGCGUGCAGGAUGAAGGCCCUCGGGUUGUAAACCGCUUUUGUACAGAACGAAAAGGUUUCUACUAAUACUAGGAGCUCAUGACGGUACUGUAAGAAUAAGCACCGGCUAACUACGUGCCAGCCGCCGCAGUAA
rnacentral:rRNA from 1 species